AUGGAGACUUCUACUAUACUAUGGCUCCUCUACGUCUCGGCCGCCUGUUGCAUCCUCUACAAAGUCUUUGUCCGCGGCAAAAACAGCCUAAAGACGAGCUCCAGCUAUGCCCGACGGCCGCCGGGCCCGGCGCCAAUCCCUUUCAUCGGCAAUAUCUUCCACCUGCAAGGCGAGCCGCACCACGCCCUGGCAAGGCUCGCUGGGGUGUACGGCCCCGUCAUGUCCUUGAAGCUCGGCACGACCACUGCCAUCAUCGCCUCCUCCGCGUCGGGCGCCCGCGACAUCCUGCAGAAGUACGACCACCUCCUGGCCGCGCGGUCCAUCACCGACGCCGGGCGCGCGCUGGGAAACCAUGAGCGCUCCAUCGUGUGGCUGCCGUGCACCAGCCCGCUGUGGAAGCGCCUCCGCGCCGUGUGCACCAACCACCUAUUCUCGGCGCGCGGCCUCGACGCGACGCGGGCCGUGCGGGAGGAGAAGGUGAGGGAGCUGGUCGGCUCCCUCCGCGCCCACCACGCCGGCGAGGCCGUGGACGUCGGCCGUGUCGUGUUCUCCGGGGUUCUAAACCUCGUGUCCAACGUGCUGUUUUCCGAGGACGUGGCCGACAUGAGCUCGGACCGGGCGCAGGAACUAGAGGUCCUCAUCAGGGGCAUGGUGGAGGAGUUCACCAAGCCCAACUUGUCGGACCUCUUCCCGGUGCUCUCUGCGCUAGACUUGCAGGGCCGCCGCCGGCGCACCACACAGUACCUGAGAAGGUUCAAUGACUUCUUCGACCCGAUCAUCCGCCGCCGUAUGAAAUAUGAAGGUGAAAGGAAAGAUGAUUUCUUAGACGUGCUACUCCAGCUUCAUUCGGUGGAUCAGCUCAGCCUCGAGGCUCUCAAUUGCUUUCUUUCGGAUUUGUUCGUGUCAGGGGCGGAGACUAACUCGAUCACAGUGGAGUGGACGAUGGCCGAGCUACUCCGGCAACCGGCCGUGAUGUCAAAGGUUCGCGCCGAGUUGCGGGAAACUCUCGGCCCGAAGCAGCACCCUGACGAGUCCGACGUCGAUAGGAUGCCAUACCUGCGCGCCGUGGUGAUGGAGACCAUGCGGCUUCACCCGCCGAGCCCACUCCUGAUGCCGCACGAGGCCAUGGCCGAUGGCGCCGAGGUCGGCGGCUUUGCGGUGUCCAAGGGCACCAAGCUGAUCGUCAAUCUGUGGGCCAUCAUGCGAGACCCAGCGCUGUGGAAGCAGCCCGAGGAGUUCAUCCCUGAGAGAUUCCUAGGGGCGGACAUGGAUUUCCGGCGCAAGGACCACGGGGAGUUCAUGCCGUUCGGGGCAGGGAGGAGGGCGUGCCCUGGGACACCCAUGGCCACGAGGGUGGUGACGCUGAUCCUUGCGUCCGUGCUUCACGCGUUUGAGUGGAGACUGCCCGAUGGGAUGCAACCGUGCGACGUCGAUGUUAGGGGCCGGUUUGGCACGUCGCUCAAAAUGGUCACGCCACUCAAGGCCGUGCCGGUGCCGUUGUUCUAG
rnacentral:rRNA from 1 species